CACCGGCCGUUCUCCAUCGACGUUCGCUCACAACCACCGCACGCUGUCGAGUGGGAUAGUUGCUGAGGAACAACAACCUCAACGUAAGAAAAUACCCGGUCUCCUACCUCACCUAUAUUUGCACGGGUAUUAAGACCUCCGACCCAAAUCUAGGAAGCUUGUCGUUUCGGCGAGGUAGCCAGUGGGUGUAUUGACAGAGGGAGCGUUUUAACUUCAAGUUGGUUGUUUGAGUGGAAUAUGCUGUGUGGUGUUUCAGAUUUUCGACUAUUUGGGUUCUUUUUAUUCUAUUUUGGGCAGGAUUUUGGAGUUUUGUUUAUGGGUCCUUUUUAUUUUUUAUUUUUUUGUUUCCUUCCUAUAAAUUAAAGAUGGAUUUUUACUUUGUUCAUAGCAACUAAAGACGUGUGGUUUCUCUGCAUAUGUCUGUCAAAUGAUUCAACCUCUAUAAUGGCCAAUGGUUUUCCCUACUUUUCAUAUUUGGUUGAUUUGUUCUAUUUUGAUAUUGGUUUGAGGACUUUCAGUCUGACAUAUAUGAGAACAUGUGAAUACAAUCGUGCUAAUUCAUUUGCAUAUUCAGAAUCUCAGAUUUCCCAGAAACUAUAAAUGCAGUAGUAGUUUUCGUUCUCAUUCUCCCCUUCAAUUUCCCUCUUUCCUCUCAUUCAGCAGGCAGCCCAGGCUGGGAGGAAAACCCAACACUCUGAAAGUGAGAGGCAUGCUUAUUUAAUCAGAUUGGUUAGAUAUGGAGGUUCGGAAGCGAUUGAAGAAGAAAUACAUGUGCCUACAAGAUGAAAAAGAAAGACUACAUGCUGCAAUUACGAAGAGCGACUCAAUGAAAAAAGAGAAUAGCAAGUGCAAGGAAACACAUGGAUAUGGAAGUUGCUCAAUGUCGAAUGCAAUUGGCGGUUGAAAAAGAAAAGUACCAAUCGAUGGAAAAACAAUAUCAAAUUGCUUUAGCCUUUGCAUUGGGUUUUUUUUUUUUAGCAUUAUAUGUUACAAUUCUUUUUAGUUGUAUGGGCAGCCAUAUAUUUUUGGGAAAAUUAUUUUAGUCGAUUUUUGUGGUAUAAAUAUUAUCUUAAAGAUCCUUUGGUAUUAUUUUGAAUAAAAUGGUCCCUAACUCGUCCACCCUCCA